rnacentral:rRNA from 1 species
CCUACGGGAGGCAGCAGUGGGGAAUAUUGCGCAAUGGGCGAAAGCCUGACGCAGCGACGCCGCGUGAGGGAUGAAGGUCUUCGGAUCGUAAACCUCUGUCAGCAGGGAAGAACGGUCACUGUGCUAAUCAGCAGUGAAUUGACGGUACCUGCAAAGGAAGCACCGGCUAACUCCGUGCCAGCAGCCGCGGUAAUACGGAGGGUGCGAGCGUUAAUCGGAAUUACUGGGCGUAAAGCGCUCGUAGGUGGUAUGUCAAGUCAAGGGUGAAAUCCCCGCGCUCAACGUGGGAACUGCCUUGGAAACUGGCAGACUGGAGUGUGUGAGAGGAUAGUGGAAUUCCAGGUGUAGGAGUGAAAUCCGUAGAUAUCUGGAGGAACAUCAGUGGCGAAGGCGACUAUCUGGCACAUAACUGACGCUGAGGAGCGAAAGCGUGGGUAGCAAACAGGAUUAGAUACCCGUGUAGUC